GGACGUGAGGGUGAUCUGGGUGCAACAUGUGUCACCCCAUUGAUCCCCUGGGUGACUGGAUGAUGUGGCUGGUUAGGCAGGUGUCCACUUCCUCCCUCACCACUCC
rnacentral:sRNA from 1 species